AUUUAUGUAGUUUAUAAAAACAUUACAUUUUCAAUGUAAAAAUAAAAGAUUCCUUUUCAUAAAUA
rnacentral:tRNA from 1 species